GUGCUCACUUGGACAGCACAUGCACUAAACUAUGAAGAUGCAGAGAAGAGAAACAUGGCCCCUGAACAAGGAUGACACACAAAAUCAUGAAGUGCUCAGUAUUUAA
rnacentral:snRNA from 1 species